UCCUGGGAGAAAAUUAAAAAAAAAAAACGGCGCCCGAUUGGUCGGUGUGCGGUUGUGACGUCAUUGAUCUGAGGGGCGGAGCUUAACGGGGAAAGGCGGGAAAUACAACGACGCCUGAUUGGUUG